AGUGAACGCUGGCGGUAGGCCUAACACAUGCAAGUCGAACGGCAGCACAGGAGAGCUUGCUCUCUGGGUGGCGAGUGGCGGACGGGUGAGGAAUACAUCGGAAUCUACCUUUUCGUGGGGGAUAACGUAGGGAAACUUACGCUAAUACCGCAUACGACCUACGGGUGAAAGUGGGGGACCGCAAGGCCUCACGCGAUUAGAUGAGCCGAUGUCCGAUUAGCUAGUUGGCGGGGUAAUGGCCCACCAAGGCGACGAUCGGUAGCUGGUCUGAGAGGAUGAUCAGCCAAACUGGAACUGAGACACGGUCCAGACUCCUACGGGAGGCAGCAGUGGGGAAUAUUGGACAAUGGGCGCAAGCCUGAUCCAGCCAUACCGCGUGGGUGAAGAAGGCCUUCGGGUUGUAAAGCCCUUUUGUUGGGAAAGAAAUCCUGUCGAUUAAUACUCGGUGGGGAUGACGGUACCCAAAGAAUAAGCACCGGCUAACUUCGUG
rnacentral:rRNA from 1 species